UACGUAGGUGGCAAGCGUUGUCCGGAAUUAUUGGGCGUAAAGCGCGCGCAGGCGGCCUCUUAAGUCUGAUGUGAAAGCCCCCGGCUCAACCGGGGGAGGGCCAUUGGAAACUGGGAGGCUUGAGUAUAGGAGAGAAGAGUGGAAUUCCACGUGUAGCGGUGAAAUGCGUAGAGAUGUGGAGGAACACCAGUGGCGAAGGCGACUCUUGGCCUAUAACUGACGCUGAGGCGCGAAAGCGUGGGGAGCAAACAGG
rnacentral:rRNA from 1 species